AUUCGGUUUCUUCACAGUCUCCUCUCUGGAAGGGCUCUUGGCUUCCUCUCCAGACAGCAUGUGUGUGCUCCCCAACACUGAGAUCUGACGUGCCCCCAGAUUCCCUGGGCUCAGAAAACAGGACACGCCGAGGACAUAGAAGCCUGGCACCAGGCGCAGAGCUUCCGCCACCAAGGAUGUUCCAGCAGAGACCACACAGCCGCGUGGCCUGGACUCGAAGCCAUCGAAGUUUUGAAUCUCUAAGUCCUUAUUUCUUGCCAGCCCAACUAUUAAUAAAUCAAAAGCUC
rnacentral:lncRNA from 1 species